rnacentral:rRNA from 1 species
CCUCGCAGCCAUCAGUUGAUGGUUCACAGGCUAACUAACGGUGGGCCAAGUUCGUCAAAUUAUCGAACUUCGUCUCAGACAUAGUCGGAUCCCCGAAUAUCAUUCGGGGUUGCUUUGGUGUAAGGCGCAGCACCCUACCCAAACUCGAUAGCUAUGGCGGAGGAAGGCGUGAGUUCGCUCCUUCCUUCCCCGUCAUCCAACUGUUCCGUAGGUGAACCUGCGGAAGGAUCAUUACAGAGAGGGGCUUCGUGCCCCAGGGGGUUCGCCCCCGCCUCUCCACCCUGUGAAAAUCAUACCUAUGUUGCUUUGGCGGGCCUUGAGGUCAUGCUCAUGCAGGGCUUCAGCCCGGCGAGUGUCCGCCAAAAGCCUACCUAAAACUCGUUUAAUCUAUGCGGUCAGAAUCUAUAUGUAAAUAAAGCAAAACUUUCAACAACGGAUCUCUUGGUUCUGGCAUCGAUGAAGAACGCAGCGAAAUGCGAUAAGUAAUGUGAAUUGCAGAAUUCAGUGAAUCAUCGAAUCUUUGAACGCACAUUGCGCCCCUCGGUAGUCCGGGGGGCAUACCUGUUCGAGCGUCAUUACACCUCUCAAGCGUAGCUUGGUAUUGGGCCUCGCUCCCUCACAAGGGCGUGCCUGAAAAAUAGUGGCGGUCCGGCGAGGCUUUGAACGUAGUAAAUUUCGUUUCGUUCUGAAGGCUCUCGUCGUGGCUUGCCAGAAGUAUUCACACUUUGUUCAAGAAUCGACCUCGGAUCAGGUAUGGAUACCCGCUGAACUUAAGCAUAUCAU